rnacentral:miRNA from 1 species
UUCAAAAAAAUCAUACUUUGCACCAACACCCCAUCUAAAUUAGAUUUGUCAUUCUGAGAGUCCAUGGAAUGUGUUAUAAAGGGCAUAAAACAAAACCAAGAGAGAAAUCUCAGAAUGACAAAUCUAAUUUAGAUGGGGUGUUGGUGCAAAGUAUGAUUUUUUUGAA